rnacentral:RNase_P_RNA from 1 species
CGACGCCGUACAGGCGAUCGCCGGUCGCGGGUCCUCUCCACGAGAGAGCGGCACCGCGACGGGAGGAAAGUCCGAGCUCCACAGAGCGCGAUGCCGGGUAACGCCCGGUGGCGGGAACGCCAAGGAAAGUGCAACAGAGAACAGACCGCCUGGCCGGCUCCGGCCCGCCAGGUAAGGGUGAAACGGCGGGGUAAGAGCCCACCGCGUCUCCGGCGACGGCGACGGCGAGGCAGACCCCAUCGGGAGCAAGGCCACGUAGGCGGGCGUGCCGCCCCGGCGACCGCGAGGUCGAAGGGGCGGUGAAGGACGGCUCGUUCGAGCCCGCGGGUAGGCUGCUGGAGGCGACCGGUAACGGUCGUCCUAGAGGAAUGAUACGCCGCCGCGUCGAGGGCGACCUCGCCGCGGAACAGAACUCGGCUUACGGACGACGUCGACCA